rnacentral:rRNA from 1 species
GCGCAGCAGGCGCGAAACCUCCGCAAUGCGGGAAACCGCGACGGGGGACCCCGAGUGCCGUGGCAACGCCACGGCUUUUCCGGAGUGUAAAAGCUCCGGGAAUAAGGGCUGGGCAAGGCCGGUGGCAGCCGCCGCGGUAAUACCGGCGGCCCGAGUGGUGGCCGCUAUUAUUGGGCCUAAAGCGUCCGUAGCCGGGCCCGUAAGUCCCUGGCGAAAUCCCACGGCUCAACCGUGGGGCUUGCUGGGGAUACUGCGGGUCUUGGGACCGGGAGAGGCGGGGGGUACCCCUGGGGGUAGGGGUGAAAUCCUAGUAAUCCCAGGGGGACCGCCAGUGGCGAAGGCGCCCCGCUGGAACGGGUCCGACGGUGAGGGACGAA